UUAAGCGACUAAGCGUACACGGUGGAUGCCCUGGCAGUCAGAGGCGAUGAAGGACGUGCUAAUCUGCGAAAAGCGCCGGCGAGGUGAUAUGAACCUUUGACCCGGCGAUGUCCGAAUGGGGAAACCCAGUGUGUUCCGACACACUAUCGUUAACUGAAUACAUAGGUUAACGAGGCGAACCGGGGGAACUGAAACAUCUAAGUACCCCGAGGAAAAGAAAUCAACCGAGAUUCCCCCAGUAGCGGCGAGCGAACGGGGAGCAGCCCAGAGUCUGAAUCAGCUUGUGUGUUAGUGGAAGCGUCUGGAAAGUCGCACGGUACAGGGUGAAAGUCCCGUACACGAAAGCACACAGGCUGUGAACUCGAAGAGUAGGGCGGGACACGUGGUAUCCUGUCUGAAUAUGGGGGGACCAUCCUCCAAGGCUAAAUACUCCUGACUGACCGAUAGUGAACCAGUACCGUGAGGGAAAGGCGAAAAGAACCCCGGCGAGGGGAGUGAAAAAGAACCUGAAACCGUGUACGUACAAGCAGUGGGAGCCUCUUUAUGGGGUGACUGCGUACCUUUUGUAUAAUGGGUCAGCGACUUAUAUUCUGUAGCAAGGUUAACCGUAUAGGGGAGCCGAAGGGAAACCGAGUCUUAACUGGGCGUUAAGUUGCAGGGUAUAGACCCGAAACCCGGUGAUCUAGCCAUGGGCAGGUUGAAGGUUGGGUAACACUAACUGGAGGACCGAACCGACUAAUGUUGAAAAAUUAGCGGAUGACUUGUGGCUGGGGGUGAAAGGCCAAUCAAACCGGGAGAUAGCUGGUUCUCCCCGAAAGCUAUUUAGGUAGCGCCUCGUGAACUCAUCUUCGGGGGUAGAGCACUGUUUCGGCUAGGGGGCCAUCCCGGCUUACCAACCCGAUGCAAACUACGAAUACCGAAGAAUGUUAUCACGGGAGACACACGGCGGGUGCUAACGUCCGUCGUGAAGAGGGAAACAACCCAGACCGCCAGCUAAGGUCCCAAAGUCAUGGUUAAGUGGGAAACGAUGUGGGAAGGCACAGACAGCCAGGAUGUUGGCUUAGAAGCAGCCAUCAUUUAAAGAAAGCGUAAUAGCUCACUGGUCGAGUCGGCCUGCGCGGAAGAUGUAACGGGGCUAAACCAUGCACCGAAGCUGCGGCAGCGACGCUUAUGCGUUGUUGGGUAGGGGAGCGUUCUGUAAGCCGUUGAAGGUGUCCUGUGAGGGGUGCUGGAGGUAUCAGAAGUGCGAAUGCUGACAUAAGUAACGAUAAAGCGGGUGAAAAGCCCGCUCGCCGGAAGACCAAGGGUUCCUGUCCAACGUUAAUCGGGGCAGGGUGAGUCGACCCCUAAGGCGAGGCCGAAAGGCGUAGUCGAUGGGAAACAGGUUAAUAUUCCUGUACUUGGUGUUACUGCGAAGGGGGGACGGAGAAGGCUAUGUUAGCCGGGCGACGGUUGUCCCGGUUUAAGCAUGUAGGCGGAGGUUCCAGGUAAAUCCGGUUCCUUAUUAACGCUGAGGUGUGAUGACGAGGCACUACGGUGCUGAAGUAACAAAUGCCCUGCUUCCAGGAAAAGCCUCUAAGCAUCAGGUAACAUCAAAUCGUACCCCAAACCGACACAGGUGGUCAGGUAGAGAAUACCAAGGCGCUUGAGAGAACUCGGGUGAAGGAACUAGGCAAAAUGGUGCCGUAACUUCGGGAGAAGGCACGCUGAUAUGUAGGUGAAGCCCCUGCGGGUGGAGCUGAAAUCAGUCGAAGAUACCAGCUGGCUGCAACUGUUUAUUAAAAACACAGCACUGUGCAAACACGAAAGUGGACGUAUACGGUGUGACGCCUGCCCGGUGCCGGAAGGUUAAUUGAUGGGGUUAGCGGCAACGCGAAGCUCUUGAUCGAAGCCCCGGUAAACGGCGGCCGUAACUAUAACGGUCCUAAGGUAGCGAAAUUCCUUGUCGGGUAAGUUCCGACCUGCACGAAUGGCGUAAUGAUGGCCAGGCUGUCUCCACCCGAGACUCAGUGAAAUUGAACUCGCUGUGAAGAUGCAGUGUACCCGCGGCAAGACGGAAAGACCCCGUGAACCUUUACUAUAGCUUGACACUGAACACUGGUCCUUGAUGUGUAGGAUAGGUGGGAGGCUUUGAAGCGUGGACGCCAGUCUGCGUGGAGCCAACCUUGAAAUACCACCCUUUAAUGGCUGGUGUUCUAACGUAGACCCGUAAUCCGGGUUGCGGACAGUGUCUGGUGGGUAGUUUGACUGGGGCGGUCUCCUCCCAAAGAGUAACGGAGGAGCACGAAGGUUAGCUAAUCCUGGUCGGACAUCAGGAGGUUAGUGCAAUGGCAUAAGCUAGCUUGACUGCGAGAGUGACGGCUCGAGCAGGUGCGAAAGCAGGUCAUAGUGAUCCGGUGGUUCUGAAUGGAAGGGCCAUCGCUCAACGGAUAAAAGGUACUCCGGGGAUAACAGGCUGAUACCGCCCAAGAGUUCAUAUCGACGGCGGUGUUUGGCACCUCGAUGUCGGCUCAUCACAUCCUGGGGCUGAAGUAGGUCCCAAGGGUAUGGCUGUUCGCCAUUUAAAGUGGUACGCGAGCUGGGUUUAGAACGUCGUGAGACAGUUCGGUCCCUAUCUGCCGUGGGCGCUGGAGAAUUGAGGGGGGCUGCUCCUAGUACGAGAGGACCGGAGUGGACGCAUCACUGGUGUUCGGGUUGUCAUGCCAAUGGCACUGCCCGGUAGCUAAAUGCGGAAGAGAUAAGUGCUGAAAGCAUCUAAGCACGAAACUUGCCCCGAGAUGAGUUCUCCCUGAGACUUUAAGUCUCCUGAAGGAACGUUGAAGACUACGACGUUGAUAGGUCGGGUGUGUAAGCGCAGCGAUGCGUUGAGCUAACCGAUACUAAUGAACCGUGAGGCUUAACCUU
rnacentral:rRNA from 2 species